UAUCCUCCCCUCUCCCCCUGCAG
rnacentral:miRNA from 1 species